UGGCAGUUUGUGAGGCUUUUCGCCAUCUGUGUGAUGAGGGAACACUUCUGGUGGAAGAAAAAAAUAAUGUGAUGCCAUAUCCGUUAAAAACAGAAGUGACGUCAUUUUGUU
rnacentral:lncRNA from 1 species